CUGCGGCAGGCCUAAUACAUGCAAGUCGAACGGUAACAUAGGAAAAGCUUGCUUUCCUGAUGACGAGUGGCGGACGGGUGAGUAAAGUUGGGAAGCUACCUGAGUAGAGGGGGACAACAGUUGGAAACGACUGCUAAUACCGCAUACAGCCUGAGGGUGAAAGCAGCGAUGCGCUAUCAGAUGCGCCCAAAUGGGAUUAGCUAGUAGGUGAGGUAAAGGCUCACCUAGGCGACGAUCUCUAGCUGGUCUGAGAGGAUGAUCAGCCACAUUGGGACUGAGACACGGCCCAGACUCCUACGGGAGGCAGCAGUAGGGAAUAUUGCACAAUGGAGGAAACUCUGAUGCAGCCAUGCCGCGUGUGUGAAGAAGGCCUUCGGGUUGUAAAGCACUUUCGGAGGGGAGGAGAAUGACGUUACCCUCAGAAGAAGCACCGGCUAACUCCGUGCCAGCCGCCGC
rnacentral:rRNA from 1 species